AACGAACGCUGGCGGCAGGCCUAACACAUGCAAGUCGAGCGAAGCCUUCGGGCUUAGCGGCGGACGGGUGAGUAACGCGUGGGAACGUGCCCUUUGGUACGGAAUAGCCCCGGGAAACUGGGAGUAAUACCGUAUGUGGUCGAGAGACGAAAGAUUUAUCGCCAAAGGAUCGGCCCGCGUUGGAUUAGGUAGUUGGUGGGGUAAUGGCCUACCAAGCCGACGAUCCAUAGCUGGUUUGAGAGGAUGAUCAGCCACACUGGGACUGAGACACGGCCCAGACUCCUACGGGAGGCAGCAGUGGGGAGUCUUAGACAAUGGGGGAAACCCUGAUCUAGCCAUGCCGCGUGAUCGAUGAAGGCCUUAGGGUUGUAAAGAUCUUUCAGUGGGGAAGAUAAUGACUGUACCCACAGAAGAAGCCCCGGCUAACUCCGUGCCAGCCGCCGCCGUAAUAC
rnacentral:rRNA from 1 species